ensembl:lncRNA
UUUUAAAAUGGGAAAGGACUAAUCUGCCUCGCUGUAUGCUGACAAAAGAUGGAAUUCACUACCUUUUGAACACAUGGCUCUCGCUGGUGGUCCUACUGUGAGAACACUGAGGGCUGGAAUUCCAUGUCCUCUCAAUCUCCACCACAUGUGUGCAGCAGAUAUAAUCACCUCGUGCCUCAUUUAAAAAAAAAAGUUGGCACCAUCCAAAGGAGGAGAACGAUAAGAACCUUCCGGCACAUUGAUUGAUGUUAUCUUCAGAGCACCAAGUCAGCCUUCCCACUCCAAUUACAAAACCCUGCGCUGAUAAAAAUUAAAGUCACCUUCAUGUACAAUUUAGGAACCUCAGACAGGGGCAAAUCAAGUGUGGGGGAGUGAAAAGAGAGAGAUGGCAUUGUGAUUAAAUCGUGGGAUGGAGUGGGUGGGGGGAGGGGGUGCAGCUAAUUAAAGUGGAGCGAGGUUGUGGUGAAUGCCCGUACUACUCCCCAGUGGACGGUCAGCGCAGAGAAAGGGAGCGCGAGCCGACGCGGAUAGACACGGAGCUGGGUAUUCACACAUAAUUGCUCACCCAGGGAGGUGCCACAGAGACCGGUGGCCUGCCGUACACACUCGAGGUGUCAGACUCUGUCAAGAUGAUGAAACUCCACUCAGCCCCCCCCCCCCCCCCCCCCAAGUCCUGCGCUGAGACUGAGCAAGGUGCCGAGAGGGACGUCGAUUUCAGCUUUAUAAAUCUAAACUUGAUGAAAUAUGAGGACACUCUCGGCUGACUCAGGCUUAGUGUGUGGUGUUUACUGGUAUCCCUGGCAGAUCAAUUUAAUUUCAGGAAACAUCAAAUGAGGUGCACGAGGCGAAUCUGGGACAAAUGACUGCUGCUGCUGCUGCUGCUGCUGCUGCUGCUGCUGCAAAAGAUGUCUGACAUCAAAGUGAGCCGGCCAAAUUUGCGCACAUCCUUCUGACUCUCAUGAAUGAAAAUAUGGCCAACUGCAUUGCCCGUGUCCGUACGACACCCCAGCAACAGCUUGAAAAUCCUCCGAUCCCCAACAAAAAGAGGAAUAAACUAUCUAUGGAAUUGCUGCUUUUCUCCAGCGCUGCUACAAAUGAGUGGAUGGAGUGAACCAGACAAGACAGCUUGCUUCCGACAGCAUGGGUUGAGGGGAGGUGAAAAAAAAAAAAUGAAAAAAAAAAUAAACUGGAGAAGCCUUGCCUUCUGGGGGAGAAAGCUAUGUUGCUCUGUGGUAAUGGGUUUCGACACAGUUGUGUGCACACUACCAACUCCACUGGCACAGCUAAUCAAGGCAGAGGAGAUUUGGUUGGGUUGCGGAUGUCCAGACUUGGAGAGGGAGACGCUGUUGUUGCGUGCAGACAGUUGGCUGCACAAUCCCCGAGUGCUCAAAGAAGCGUCGAGAGAGGCCCCUGCCAUGGAUGUGUGGUCUCACAGAGGCGAGCCAGGAACAUCCUCUAGUCGCGUCUUCUCUAGUGUAUAUUCAAGCAAAAUGAGACCUUGUCUGUUUCCUCCCCAUGCCGGCAUGUCACUUAUUCUGCACUGGCCUGAUGGGUGCAUUUAGCUUGAUAUAAACUACCCUCGAGUGCAUGAGAAGAAAUUGGAAAAACACACACACACACACACACACACACACACACAUCAUACUUGUUUACUCAGAAAAGCAGAGCCUUAGAUCUCCGAGCAAUAUAUGUUGGCAUGUCUCUCAGGAUGGGAGAGGUUGAUGUUAUUGAAAAAGUUUGAGUUAUUGCUUGCAGCAAUGCUCCAGCUGAAGCCUCUCUUGGGGGGUGAGUUUUUUGAACCAGGGAAGAACAAAGAAGCAAAAGGCCGCUCUUGACAGGGGAGAGGAGAUGAAGGUGGAGGAGGAGGAUGCAGAGGCAACUUGGGCAUGAAAAGAGCCAACGAGAUGAGAGGAUUGCUCUAAUUUCUGAUCUUUUCCAGCUAGAGAUGAAGUUUAUGAAUUUUUGAAGGUUCCUUGAGCUGGUGAAAAAUCCUCAGAUGAGUCCAGCAAUUAGGACCUAUCUCUGAAGCCUUCAGCUAGCCCUCCAGUUCUGAAGUCUAGACCUAGAUAUUACAAAUGUUCUCUCUGACAUUUGUCUUUGCAAAGUAUGAGUGAAUGUCACAAUGACAUUUCUGAGCAACACUGAAAAUGAACUAAAACCUUAUUUAGAAGUCUGAAUAAUAUUAAAAUAGAAAGUUUUGUAUCUGUCUUCAGCCUCCCUUUGGUAAAGUAGGUUCUAGUGGCACUGUAUCCAGUGACUCCCUGUCCUCACCUGCCUGUUCAGCAAUGACAGCUUGAGGUGUGUUUAUGGGAUAAGCAUCAUAAGUGUUGUUUGGGGUCAUCUGGCAUGCUCACAGUGGGUAGAAAGGUUUUUGCUAAAUAUUGAAAUGUUAGUUCUGGAGAUUUUGACAAUGAAAUGAAUGUAUUUCAUCAACUGACACCUCUUCUAUUGAUAAAGCAAAUCUAACCGGCUACAAUUUAAGGUACAGUGCAAUCUAAUGUACAGUGUACCUAUGGGGUCACUUCAGUGUACUUAUCAUGUGACAGUAAGCACCUGACCCUAACAAAGUGAAAUUUUGAAGGGACCACCUGUAUAAAAUGUGUACAUUGUACUGAAGUGGGGUCCAAGUUUCUGCAACACUUUAAAAGAGAAAUUCCUUAAAUUAAUUUGACCUCCAUCCAUUGCUUUCAAAUCCAGAAAUAUUGGCUACAGAUGUUUCCUGAAGCAACACAUAUUUGUUCUACUUUUACUAGCUGUCUGCAGUUGUGCUAUUUGUAACUGAUCAAUCCAGAGAUUAAACCACAAAACAUUGAAACUCUAAUCAAUUGUAAGUGUGCACUAUAAACCCAUUUAUGUAUAAACUUGUCAAAAACUUG